ACGGAAGGCAGCAGUGGGGAAUAUUGCACAAUGGGGGAAACCCUGAUGCAGCGACGCCGCGUGGGUGAAGAAGUUUUUCGGAAUGUAAAGCCCUAUCAGCAGGGAAGAUAAUGACGGUACCUGACUAAGAAGCCCCGGCUAACUACGUGCCAGCAGCCGCGGUAAUACGUAGGGGGCAAGCGUUAUCCGGAUUUACUGGGUGUAAAGGGAGCGUAGACGGAAUAGCAAGUCUGAAGUGAAAUGUAGGGGCUCAACCCCUGAACUGCUUUGGAAACUGUUGAUCUUGAGUACCGGAGGGGCAGGCGGAAUUCCUGGUGUAGCGGUGAAAUGCGUAGAUAUCAGGAAGAACACCGGUGGCGAAGGCGGCCUGCUGGACGGUAACUGACGUUGAGGCUCGAAAGCGUGGGGAGCAAACAGGAUUAGAUACCCUGGUA
rnacentral:rRNA from 1 species